UAUGGCAAAAUUAAGUUUACAGUUGUGAGUACGUGAAACGCAGAUUUUACUUUUGCAUUAUUAUUCAUUAAUUAUUGUAUUAGUUUCCAUAUGAACAGUUAUAAAUCUACCUUUGUCCCACCCUAUAUAUACCUGCUCUCCC